AGAGUUUGAUCCUGGCUCAGAACGAACGCUGGCGGCAGGCUUAACACAUGCAAGUCGAGCGCCGUAGCAAUACGGAGCGGCAGACGGGUGAGUAACGCGUGGGAACAUACCCUUCGGUUCGGAAUAACGCAGGGAAACUUGUGCUAAUACCGGAUACGGACGAGAGUCGAAAGAUUUAUCGCCGAAGGAUUGGCCCGCGU
rnacentral:rRNA from 1 species